AUGGGCCGGUUCGGGUGGCUCCGGCUCGCGUCGAGGUCCCUCGCGCGCCGCUCCGGCGAGGCGUCUGCGCAGAGGAGCGCAUGGAUUCGGCCGUCUACACCUUGCACCUCUAGUGGUGCUGAUAGAUGCUAUGGUCGAUCAACAUUUAUAUCAUCUGUGCCGAGCAGGUUCUUUCAUUCCACAGGUCAGCGUUAUUCGAUGGACAAGGACUAUUACAAGGUUCUUGGUGUGACUAAAGAUGCCUCACAAGAUGACAUAAAAAAGGCUUUUCAAUCUCUUGCAAAGAAGUACCAUCCAGACACAAAUAGAGGAAAUACUGCUGCGAAAAGGAUGUUUCAGGAAGUAAGAGACGCAUACGAGACUCUUCGGGAUCCUUCAAAGAGACAGCAAUAUGAUAUGCUAUUUUCUGGAGGGUCAGCUGCAAAUUCCACAAGGGGUAGGGGGGAGUUCGAUGGAUCCUAUCAAGAUCCAUUUUCAAGAUUCAACAAACAGAACGACGACCCUUUUGCACAAUUCUACAGACAAAAUGAUGGUCCUUUUUCUAAUCAGUUUUACAAAGUAUUCUCAGAGGUUUUCCAGCAUGAUGUAGAUGUACAUGCCAGUGACAUUGAGAUAGAGCUGAAUCUGUCUUUUGGCGAAGCUGCUAAAGGAUGUACGAAGGAAGUUCCCUUCAGUGCAAAGAAUCUUUGCUACUCAUGUGAUGGGAGAGGAUACUUGGCCAAUGCAAGAAAAUAUGUUUGCCCUUCUUGUAAAGGUGCAGGAAAAGUUAGUAUGUAUCCGUUCACAUCCAUUUGUACUACUUGCAGAGGCUUCGGGAAAGUGAUUAAGGAUCACUGCCUAACAUGCAAAGGUGCAGGGGUGGUAGAUGGUAUGAAAUAUGCAAACGUGAUCAUUCCAGCAGGAGUUGAUUCUGGUGAUACAAUUCAUGUACGGGAGGCUGGAAAUAGCGGUGGACGUGGAGCCAUACCUGGAAGUCUAUACAUUAAGCUUCGAGUAGCAAGUGAUCCAGUAUUUGUUCGAGAUGGUGCUGAUGUACAUGUGGACAAAAAGAUAAGCUUCACACAGGCAAUGCUUGGUGGAAAAAUCGAAGUACCCACUUUAGACGGUAAAACAGAAAUUAAGAUACCCAAAGGAGUUCAACCAGGGCAAGUUGUCGUUUUAAGGGGGAAAGGAUUGGAAUUGCCAAACCAGGCAGGAUAUUUCGGAGACCAACAUGUCCGUUUCAAAAUACAUUUUCCAUUGAAAGUUAACGAACGUCAGCGUGCACUGUUGGAAGACUUUGCAGCAGAGGAAGCCACUAAGGAACAGAGUUUUUUUGCAACAGGAAACUGGUCGGAGCUUAUUGUUGAAAAUAUGAAGAGCCAAAAUUUCAUGAUCGGGCUUGGUUUUGUCAUGCUGAUCUAUCUGAUGCUUAGCAAGGCUGUGAGUUAA
rnacentral:rRNA from 1 species